GCCUGUUGCACAAAAGUAGAAUUAAGACAUCCGGGAUAAAUGACUCAGCUGAGCUCAAUGAAGCCAAAACAUGUGCGUCCAGGCUUAAUUGGUUGCACAAAGACCAAGCCAGGAUGAGCAGACACGGAUUCAUUAAGCCAGGUGAAACCAAUCCUGGAUAGGUGCGCGCUCACGGCUCACUCAAAUAGACCCCGCCACAGAUCACAGAUUAACUGAUUUACCAUGGCAACUAGAGCCGCGUACUUUUCCCCGUCGGAAGCACAAAUCCUCAUGGAGGCAUACGAGGAGGUAAAAGAUAUAAUUAAGAAGAAAGGCAACACCGCCACAGUGAUAAAGCAAAGAGAAAAAGCGUGGCAAAGUAUUGCAGACCGCCUGAAUGCGUAAGUAGUGCACAAUUACACAGUCACCGCUCCGCUGAAACAUCACAAUUACAAUUCAAAUAUUUAAUUCACAUCUCCAAAAAUGCAGUUGUACUGUAAUUAUGAAACGGUUAAAUUUUUAAUUGAAAUGCACUGCAGAUAUGAGUGAAAUUGUGUAAAGUAACUCCAUCACACUGUAUAAAGCUAUGAUAAAUUUUGAUAUUUUUACUGAAAACAAGACAAAAAUACCAAGUAAUUUUUUGCAGUGUGACUCCAUUAAAUGUGUGUGUGUGUGUAGAUUAAACAUGAACGGGCCAAAACGGACAUGGCAGCAGGUCAAAAUCAAAUACAAGAACAUUCUGCAGAAUGCAGUGAAAAAGAAUACCCACAGACAAGGCACGGGUGGUGGGUCACCAAAGGCUGACCUUACCCCAGCAGAGGACAUGGCCUUGGAGCUAAAUAAAGGCAGGCCCGUCUUAGAGGGGAUCCCUGGGGGGAAAGAGACGAGCAUAGGUUCCUCCCAAGAUGCCACCCGCUUCAUUCAAGUGUCUGGCAGCACUGUGUUCCUGUUAGAGCCACCAGCACAAGCACCAGACGAUGCUGAUCCAGGUGAAGGCCCCAGUGCAGCAGCAACAGCACAUGAUGGAGACGAUGAUGAGGAGGAGACCAUCUCUCUGGAUUCCAGAAGGCAUGAGGUAUCAUGUUAAGACUGUGAAAGUACUAUUUACUCUACAAUGGUGAGGAGUCCUCAUCAAAAUCAAAAAAUCGAAUUUCUUUUACAGGACCCAGAUGCUAUACAGUGGGAAAACCAGCCUGGCAACAUAGUGCGUAUUAAUAAAAGGACACCACAUCCUGCCAAAUUCCAGCUGCGCUAAUUGUAUUGUGUUCACAGAGCUCACAAGCUAUCAGAAAGUUGAAUGGCAACCACCUCCGGCGCCAAAUAGAACUGGCAGACAUAGACAUUCAGUACAAGAAGAAAAAGAUGGAAAAUCUUGCACUGGAGUCCGAAAUAAAAAAGAGGACAAUUAGGAAACUGGACCUUGAAAUAAAAUAACUUGAGAGGGAGCUCCAAGAAGAUGACACAGCUCAAAAUAAAAAUUAGGUAUAUUCUCGUAAAGUCAAGUGAGCCAUGACAUAUGAGUUCUUAUUGUGAGCACACAGGACGGUGGCAUCUUUCUAAGGUUUUUUUAUUUUCCCGGCAAUCAGUACAACCAAGUCAUCGUUAUAAGGCAUCGCCCUCUUUUGCCCACCCCCCCAGCACCAGGUGUGGCCACUAGCCUAUAUGAAGGCCCAAAAUUGUGUGUUCCUUUCUGCCCUGACAAUGGCAUGCCCAUUCGUGCGAGAAGUGGUGGAUGAAGAAGCACUUGUGCUGAGGAGAGCCUUCAGGCGAGAAAGGGUCUUCAGGGACCGGUUGGACCCACUGGCCUUCCCUGAUGACCAUCUAUAUGAAAGAUACAGGUUUUCUGCAGAUGGCAUCAGGUAUCUAUGCAGACUACUGGGUCCCAGGAUUAAGCACCGCACUGCACGGAGCCAUGCACUGAGUGUGGAGCAAAUGGUUUGUGUGGCCUUGCGCUUUUUUGCUAGUGGAGCCUUCCUGUACUCAGUGGGGGAUGCUGAACAAGGCCACAAUUUGCCGCACAAUAAGGAGCGUGUGUCUGGCUAUCAAAGCAUUAGCAGAUGUCUUCAUCUCCUUCCCUGGCCACAGAAGACUCUGUGACAUCAAAGAGGAGUUCUAUAGGAUUGCAGAUGGUCUGCAAUGCUGACUGUGUGAUCAGCAAUGUUGUGGCAAAAUGGCCUGGCUCAGUCCAUGACUCCAGAAUCUUUCGGGCCUCUGAAAUCUAUCAGUGCCUAUCACAAGGUGUGUUGCUGGGAGACAGGGGGUAUGGCUGCCAGCCUUUUCUCCUGACACCUUUCACAGACCCCCAGGAAGCACAGCAGGCCUACAACCAUGCCCAUGCCAGGACCAGGGCCAGAGUUGAAAUGACCUUUGGCCUCCUGAAGGCACGCUUUCACUGCCUUCACAAAUUAAGGGUCAGCCCUGUUAGGGCAUGUGAUAUUACUGUGGCUUGUGCUGUCCUCCACAAUGUGGCCUGCCUGAGGAAGGAGAGGGCCCCCAGAGUGCCACCAGCCAUGGACUGGGACAAUCCGGCAAUCUUCCCUGAUGACGACAGUGGUCGGCUGCUGAGGGACCAAUAUGUGUUGAAUUAUUUUAGUUAGUAUGUGUGCUUUCAAUUUUGGUUAAAUAUGUCCUGCGGUGGCAGAGGAAUUUGGUUUUUUUUGGGUUCGUUUUUUUACGAAUUUGGCCUCUUAUGAUGUUUGUGCGGUAUACUGUGUGUAAUACAAGGCUGCAGGGAGGCUACUGCAUCCAUUCAUUUGUCUGUUCAGUUGAUGUGUAUGGAUUUGUCCUGCAUUUAUUUUAGUGUGCAGACAUGCAUGGUGUGUUAUAUACAGACCUUUGAAUGUGUAUGUAUCAUUUUGUAUAAUAUGCUUGGAUUCUGUGCUUUCCAUCUUGUAGAGUCACUGUGACUUCAGUUUCGAAAGGAGCUGAUGGUUUACCUGCUUUGUUUUGUCCUUAUUCAAUAAAGGAACAUAAUGUUA